CACAGAUAACCACGAAUUAAAAAAGCAAAAAUACAACACGAGUAUAACUCAAAUGACAAAAAGGAAGACAAGCAGACUUACAAAAUGACCCUGGGCUCUGUUGGUUCCUCUGUGCGACCCAUUGUGAUAUUUCCGUUACUCCGUUUUAACGGAAUCCUCAAAUGCCGUGGUCGCAGUCCACGUCUCUGCAAAUGUACCAAAGGAUCACAUAGAGAAUGAGGAGAAUGGCGAAGAUGAAGAGCGCUACUAGGAUGGCCUUGGUCACCGGAGAGAUGAACGACUGCAUGUCAGGAGCAGAGCCGGGCAGAGCGGCGUGGAGCUCCGCGUCCGUCCGUACUCAGUCUGCUAUCUCUCUCGCUCUCCUCCUCUCCUCUCCGCCGCUCGGGUGGCAACUGUUGAGGAUGGAGCCUGGGGCUUUGCCGUGCUCAAGUACACACAUUUAUAACCUGACGCGCAUGCACACGCACUCCGCCACGCGAAUAGCCUCUCUACCGGCGAUCUGGGCGCGCAACGCGUGGGGGCUUCCCUUGCUAGAAGCGGCACAGCAGUGGGUUGUAUUUCCCCGGAUCCACACUCCCUCACUGCCUGUCGCACAUCAGAAGACGCAGCGACAGGUGAGACUGGACUGAUAACACCCGCGCUUCCUGCAAAGAGGACGGCAAAAAACAACAACAAAAAAAAAACACUUGAAAUUCACCAAUACAAUACAAUAAAAUAAAAGCCCGCACAGAUGUUUCCAGACACAGAAUGGAAAAGUGCUAAGUUGCGCGUCGAGCUGCUGCACUUGUCGGCAAACAGGUUGAUUAGUAUUCCUCACAGCGGCGUGUGUGAGUGUGCAUGCGUAUGUGUGAGAUGGCUGGGGAUGACAGGCUAUCAUCUUAUCACGACCCUUCGAACCCCCUUUUUGGCCAAGCUGUCAGUCCAAGGAUUAAAAUAUAAUUCUACAUUUUUAAUGUUUCCAUUUCCACCUGAUGCGCGCUUUAUUCCUAUUUUGUUGUAUUACUAAUCAGACUAGCCUAAGCGGUUGGUACCUCUUGCGCAUCUUUUUAUAAGUAUUAAUCCUAUAAUAAAAAGAAGAUGGUGUGCAAAUGCCAUCAAAAACUCUUGUCACGUAUACUCCAUCUGGGCUAAUUAAGACAAGGUCGUAACUGAUAAGGCUAGAGGAUAUGCGCCUUUCCUCACAUAAAAUGCAAGAUAUCCAUGUUUAAACCUAUAUGACCGAUAUACGUUAAGAAAUUGGGAAUCUGUUUUAUUCAGAAAAUACAAACACUACAUGACAGAAGAGAUGACUGCAUUAAACAGUUUUUUAACGUGAGCAACAGUUAAU
ensembl:lncRNA